GCCCGGAUGGCUCAGUGGUUGAGCAUCUGCCUUUGGCCCAGGUCAUGACCCUAGAGACCUGGGAUCGAGUCCCACAUCGGGCU
rnacentral:tRNA from 1 species